UACGUAGGUGGCAAGCGUUGUCCGGAUUUAUUGGGUUUCAAGGGUGCGUAGGCGGCCUAUUAAGUCAGUUCUGAAAUAUCCCGGCUUAACCGGGAGGGUGGGAUUGAUACUGAUGGGCUUGAGUGGAAUCGAGGUAGGCGGAAUUGACGGUGUAGCGGUGAAAUGCUUAGAUAUCGUCAAGAACACCGAUAGUGUAGACAGCUUACUAGACUUCAACUGACGCUGAGGCACGAAAGUGUGGGGAUCAAACAGG
rnacentral:rRNA from 1 species